CGCCGCCACGUCCUGAGCCGCCCAUCUAUGCCGCCGCCGCCGGGCUGGCUCCUCCUCCAUCCCUGCGCCCCGUCCCAUCUCCACAGCCUCCAGCGACCAAUUCCAUCUCCUGCCUCCUGCAACUGGUCCUGCCAGUGCGCUGCGUCCGCCGCCGGUGAAUGCCCUCCGCAAGGACUGCCCCUCUGCUCUGGCGCUCCUCGGCCGUCCCCGACCCUUUGCCUGGUCGCCAGGGACGUGCUGCUCCAGCCGGGGGCCGUCGCCCGCCGCGCCGGCUCUGGCGCUUUGCUCCGGCCAAUCCCGGGCUGCUCGCCUGCUCGGCCCGACUCUGCCGCCCAGGACUUGCUGUCAACAAACAACAAUCAGGCUGGGACAGGGAAAUAGAAGAGGAAGAUAUAUUUCAUUAGAAGUUUCAACACCCGGUGUUUCAGUUGGACUGAAUCAACUCCACAAAUUGGAACAACCAUAUAUCGGACCACUGUCUUUGGCUUCAAACAACCUGCCUUCAAUCUCAACUCGAGAAAGUACCUCGUUUGUAUCUUAUACUUUUUAUUGAAGUUUUCGGCAUGUUUUUAUAUAUUUCAUUGUAUCAUUAAGAAUUGAGUUUAAAUUCUAAUUUAUGGUGCAAUUAAGACUUAUUUUGUAUGAUUCAGUAUAUUUUUAGGUAGCUAUAGCCUUAUGGACGCUAAGUUUUUCCCUUGCGCUUUUUUUUCUAGGCAUACUGAUGAUAUAUUCUUAAUGAAGUCUGUUAAAGGUAGUUUUCACCAUAUUUUUGAAGCAGACCCAUAUGCUAGGAUGAACUGAACUGAACUAAGCUUUGCCUUUGACUUUUUGAUCAUUUUCUGGUUGUCCUGGUGAACAUAGAGACACUUAAAAUGUUUUAAUUGGAUUCUGGUGCAAGCUCGCUGCCUUGCUCCUCACCGAGAGACAUGCCAUUUGUCCAAAAGUAUCAAGCAUUGGACGUAAAGUGGACAACCUAUUCGGUACUGAAACAAUAUAUGUAGCAUGUAUGAAGCUGAAUCAUGCUUAUAACACUGAAGAACAGAGUAACUUCAAUAAAGCAAGUAAGUAGCUGCAGUCUUCCCGGAUUUUUGAUAAAGAAAUCAGCAAGUGCCACUCACCCAAGUUGUCUUUUCAGCGUAUCCUACCAUGCGCCAAUGAGGCAAGUGGUAGUGUUUCCUAAAAAUCUCUUUUUCCUGAAGGUGUAAACACAUGCAGCAACUGAUCAUGUGCAUUAGAAAUUUAGAAUGCACUGUUUGAUAAUUACUCUCUUAGGCCCUGCUUGCUAACUUUGAAAAAAUAUGCGACCGGCUACCCUUCAACAACUGCCAGUCACUUGGGGACUGUUUGAUUUCCAGCCAAAUGUUGCCAGAUCUAUGGUUAGGCACACAUAACUUUCUGAGGUGGGUGAAUGUUCGGCUGGCUGACACAGUUGUGGCUUGCGACUUUACUAGUCACAUGUAAGGAGUAUAUUUUGGCCACACUUUUGUGGCAAGCCACACUCUGUCCCGAGGGGUAAUAAUUACUACUUUUGGCUUAGCUGUGUCAAAGUAAGCUUUUAACCAAACUAGGGUGUUAAAUUGGUCUUAAGUUUCAAUCUUGUAUUGUAGAUCAUCACAUAUGUUCUCUGUUUCUUAUUCAAUGAUGUCUUAUCUGACUCGUUAAUGAGUCUACUUAAUAUCCUUUUCAACUUUGCUGACUGGUUGGAACAAAAGGUUUUACAAAGCGAUGGACCAACUAUUACAGAAAAGGUAAGAGCUUUGGCUGCAAAACCCAACAGAUACGGGGUGUGCUAUAGUGGCUAUGUCAUCAACAACUUCAGGUUCCACACAAUGAGUCAUGAGUCAGGGCAUGUCACACAAAAUAGUGGUGUAGUGAACAUUGCAGAAAAUGGUGUUAGAUAUUAUGGCAGAUUAAGUGGCAUCUUUGAAUUGUCAUACAAUGAUUACAAGGUGGUGUUCUUUAAUUGUGAUUGGUAUGAUGUCUACCAUGAAGUUGGCAUUCAAACGGAUGAGUUUGGGUUCACUCUUGUGAACAAGUCUGGGAAAAUACACACAGGGGAUGAGCUAGAGGAUGAUCCUUUUGUAUUUUCCUCCCAAGUGCAGCAGAUUUUCUUUGUUCAAGAUCCAAAAGCUGAACUAUGGAAUGUAGUAGUGGAAGUCAGGCCUCAUGAUCUUUUUGACAUGGGUGCUGAAGAAUCAUCGGAUGAAACAUAUUAGAGCAUUGUGAUUUUGGUUCAGGCUGAAGUAUGGUGGAAGCUCUUUGCUCGUGUGGUUCUUUGCAUGCAACUACAAUUUUAGUUAUGGUUUCAGUAGCACAAAGUCAGAAUGUUUUAUUAUAGUUUAUGGUUGUAUUUUUUGUACUAAUUUAGGGCACAGCCCAGGUGUACUUGGUUGUUAAUUGCAAGUUGAUUCUGCAGAAUUUCUGUUCUGGAAAGUGAAGUAUCACCUUUGGUUUA